UGGGGAAUAUUGCACAAUGGGCGCAAGCCUGAUGCAGCCAUGCCGCGUGUGUGAAGAAGGCCUUCGGGUUGUAAAGCACUUUCAGCGAGGAGGAAGGUGGUGAGCUUAAUACGCUCAUCAAUUGACGUUACUCGCAGAAGAAGCACCGGCUAACUCCGUGCCAGCAGCCGCGGUAAUACGGAGGGUGCAAGCGUUAAUCGGAAUUACUGGGCGUAAAGCGCACGCAGGCGGUUUGUUAAGUCAGAUGUGAAAAUCCCCGGGCUCAACCUGGGAACUGCAUUUGAAACUGGCAAGCUAGAGUCUCGUAGAGGGGGGUAGAAUUCCAGGUGUAGCGGUGAAAUGCGUAGAGAUCUGGAGGAAUACCGGUGGCGAAGGCGGCCCCCUGGACGAAGACUGACGCUCAGGUGCGAAAGCGUGGGGAGCAAAACAGGAUUAGAUACCCUGGUAGUCCACGCUGUAAAACGAUGUCGAUUUUGGAGGUUGUGCCCUUGAGGCGUGGCUUCCGGAGCUAACGCGUUAAAUCGACCGCCUGGGGAGUACGGCC
rnacentral:rRNA from 1 species